GCCUGGGUGGCUCAGUCGGUUGAGCGUCCGACUUCAGCUCAGGUCAUGAUCUCACGGUUUGUGGGUUCAAGCCCCACAUCGGGCU
rnacentral:tRNA from 1 species